CCUACGGGGGGCUGCAGUGGGGAAUAUUGGACAAUGGGCGAAAGCCUGAUCCAGCCAUGCCGCGUGUGUGAAGAAGGUCUUCGGAUUGUAAAGCACUUUAAGUUGGGAGGAAGGGCAGUAAAUUAAUACUUUGCUGUUUUGACGUUACCGACAGAAUAAGCACCGGCUAACUCUGUGCCAGCAGCCGCGGUAAUACAGAGGGUGCAAGCGUUAAUCGGAAUUACUGGGCGUAAAGCGCGCGUAGGUGGUUCGUUAAGUUGGAUGUGAAAUCCCCGGGCUCAACCUGGGAACUGCAUUCAAAACUGUCGAGCUAGAGUAUGGUAGAGGGUGGUGGAAUUUCCUGUGUAGCGGUGAAAUGCGUAGAUAUAGGAAGGAACACCAGUGGCGAAGGCGACCACCUGGACUGAUACUGACACUGAGGUGCGAAAGCGUGGGGAGCAAACAGGAUUAGAUACCCAAGUAGUC
rnacentral:rRNA from 1 species